AUUGAACGCUGGCGGCAGGCCUAACACAUGCAAGUCGAACGCGUGGCGGACGUGUGAGUAAUGUCUGGGAAACUGCCCGAUGGAGGGGUAUAACUACUGGAAACGAUAGCUAAUACCGCAUACCCUCGUGUGUCCCCAUAUGGGAAUAGCUAGUGGGAGGUGUAACGGCUCACCUAGGCGACGAUCCCUAGCUGGUCUGAGAGGAUGACCAGCCACAAUGGAACUGAGACACGGUCCAGACUCCUACGUGAGGCAGCAGUGGGGAAUAUUGCACAAUGGGCGCAAGCCUGAUGCAGCCAUGCCGCGUGUAUGAAGAAGGCCUUCGGGUUGUAAAGUACUUUCAGCGAGGAGGCGUUACUCGCAGAAGAAGCACCGGCUAACUCCGUGCCAGCAGCCGCGGUAAUAC
rnacentral:rRNA from 1 species